rnacentral:hammerhead_ribozyme from 1 species
ACACUGCUGAGGAGUCCCACAAUAGGACGGAACGAUCUUCCAGUGC